CAUUUAUCAAGAGAAACCACGUUAGUUUUGAUAUAUUUAACUGAUUUUCAUAUAAAUUUGAGCAUAUUUAGUUACAUUAUUUUCAAACCAUGUUAUUUUAAAUAAUAUUUUGUAGUAUCGUAGGGAUCAUAGAAUCGGGAUACCACCUAAGAUUUCAUAGGAUCGUGUAAUAAUGAAUAGUAGGAUCAAGAUACUUUGAAAAUUAGGAUACUAUGUGGGAUCGGUAUCGUUUCGGCUUGGUAGGAUCGUAGUAUCGUAAGAUACUAGAAUACGAAUAGGGAUAUUGACAACCUUGUAGAGGACUAUACGCUAUCAGCGUACUAAACCUGUAGAGUUUUCUGGCUUAGCUAUUGAUAAGUACUCCCUCUAUUCUAAAAUCUAAAAUCUAGUAGUACUAAUUUAUUUGUUUCAGAUUUAUAGUACUAUAUAAUAUCUAAUUGAGUACUUCUUUUGUCUUAAAAUAUAAAUGAUUUUAAUCAGAUGUGACAAGAGUCUAUCUAGAUUCCCAUCCGACCAAAAUCCCGGAUGGAGAGAAUACUAGUUUACUGUUAUAUUAUAUAUUUUGAGACGGAUUGAGUACUAAUACACGAGUUAAUUUGUUUGUGAUUCUAAAUUAUCAGGUUUUGAUUAAAAAGUUUCCAAAUUGUUGACAGUCACCAUACCUAGUGCCCAUAUAUACAAGGCCCAAUAUAAUGUGGUGGACAAAGAGAAUCAAAGCCCAUAUAAGGCCCAAGAUAAUGUGCGCCUCGAGCCCACAGAGCUGCCGAGCCGUGCCGCGAGAGCGAGACCCAUAUCGUCCCCAUCCGUUGCGUGAGCCGCGACGCGAUCUGUCUCUUUCCUCUCGUCGUCAAUAAAUUGUAGCACGCCCACCUACUCGAUCGGCGACUUUCUCCUCUCGUCGUUAAUCUGCUCGAUCGAUUUCCAUCUGAAAAACCCACGAAGCAAGUUCCAUCCUAUACUUCAAUCUCCUCUCGUCAAGAUCUCUUUAAUUUGCGAAGACCCUCAUCACCGGCAAGACCAAAUAAAUCACCCUUGAGAGGUUGAGAUCAGUCUCAAGGGCGGACACACCCUCUUGCAGAUUACGGCAUUCGAAUUCAGAGACAAUUAUAUUAAUCCUUCACCUCAGGCUAGGAAUGCGGAUCUUCGUGAAGUCCUUGAGUGAAAAGAUCAUCACGCUGGAGGUCGGGUCCUCGGACACGAUCUAUAGCCUGAAGUCAAAAAUCCAUGACAAGGAGGGCAUACCACCACACUGGCAGCGUCUCAUCCAUGUCGGCAAUUGCAUGCCGCUUGAGGAUGGUCUAACGUUGGCACAUUACAACAUUAAGGAAGAGUCCACUAUUCAUAUUGUUGUGUGGGACUACAUAAAUGACGGAUAUAUAUUAAAACCCUGACCGGCAAGACGUACCAUUACGCUUGCGAAAG